rnacentral:lncRNA from 1 species
CUUGUUUAGUAUUUGUUCUUCUGUAUUAGUAUUUGAUAGGUAAGCUAUCAAAAGGAUAAUUUCACAUUACCAAAAACAUUCUAGAAUUUGCUUCUUUAAAACCGUACUGCACAGGUAUCUGGUAACUCGCUGUGAAAUGACUGCACCAUGCAUGCGCACCUUUGGGCAGCAAACAGAAUAUCGAUGUAAUGGUGUCAAGGUUGAGUAAUAAACUUAGGUUUCUGGUUGUUAACAGUAGUAGGGUCUUAGGACAAAUAUGUGAAAAGCUGGUGAUUUUCCUGUUGGCACUUAUCAGGUAAAUUGAUGCUUUCAGAUGAAUCAAUUUACACUAUUUAUUAAAACUGCUCAGCUUGGUUCUACAACCAUCUAUUGAGUGUAUUCUCAUGGGUGGGGGCAAUUUUCUAGAUACUAGGGACAUAAAAAUCAUUAAAACAAAAUCCUUCCCUUAAGACAAAUGAAUAAACUGAAAUGGCCCUUGUUAAAAAAAUAUCAAACUCAUUCUGAGAAUUAGUUCAAUUUAUUUCCUCUUUAUCUGGUUCAGGAACAGGUGUGUUACAACUGUGAGGGCAGUUUUCUCAGUUAGUUUUUCUGAUUGGUUACCAAUAAAUGUCAAGCAAACAAAGAAGGGGGCGUAUAUCAGCUGAGAUCAAACACUGUAAUUAAUAUAGAAAGGUACACCUCAAUCUGGA